GCCAGGCAUGGUGGUGCAUGCCUGUAAUCUCAGAGGCUGGGGAGGCUGAGACAGGAGUAUCUCCAGUUCAAAGCUAGCUUCAGCAAAGGUGAGGUGCUAAGCAACUCAGUGAGACCUGUCUCUA
rnacentral:sRNA from 1 species